GAAGUUGUGGUGCAGGUACUUGCGCGCGAAUUCGUCGUGGUUGCCCGGGAUGAAGAUCACCCGCGUGCCCUUGCGUGCCUUGCGCAGCAGUUUCU
rnacentral:tRNA from 1 species